GGCUGGAUGGCCGAGCGGUCUAAGGCGCUAGACUCAAGAACCAAGUUCUUCUUCACCAUAAGGUGAGGUGCAUUCUAGUCUCGAAAGAGGCGCGUGUUCGAAUCACGCUUCAGUCA
rnacentral:tRNA from 1 species